AUUAGUAAAUAAAUAAAAUCUUAGAGAAACAUAUGAUGGAAACAGAGCUUUGUUUUUAGUAAGUUUAUUUGUAUGGUGUUGGAGGAUUAAUACUGUGUGGAAUUGUAUCCCACAUGUAGGGAGGAAGAAAGAGCUAAAGAACUUUAAAAACUUUGUUUUUUCAUUCUGGGGAUGGGAGCCUUUUUUUUUUUUUUUUUUUAACAGAAGCCAAGCUGAUCUUUAUUAUUUUUCCUGAGGGAAGUGGGAUGUAGGAGAACACUGUGGCUUCCUGUCCUCACUGUUACUCUAGGAAACAGCUCUGCUCUAAUGUGUGGAGACUGUCACGAGCCUGCAAAGUUCGUUAUGUUUGGCUCUUCUGCCCACCCCACCCCCAGGUCUCUUUCUCUCUGUCUCUUUCUUUCUUUCUUUCUUUCUCUCUCUCUUUCUUUUUGUUGUUGUUUGUAAAAGGGUUUGAUAGGGAGCUGGCAAGGGAAGAAGUUCACCACUGACUUCUCCUUUUGAAAAGGGUAGUAACUGAAAGGGGGAGGGGAGAUCUGGAAAAGAUCCAGUACUGUUUCAUAGCCAGCAACUAUGGAGGAGUUUUUGGUAGGAAGCCUAACUUGAUGGAGGAAGAUUGUAAAGAGAGGAUUCUCCUUCGAAUCACCUGUUUUAUCUUUCACAUGAAGAACAGUCCAUCCAAGAUCGGCUAAAAACGGUGAAGUCACCAUUUUUUACAGGCUUGGACCUGGAUCCUUGUGCAUUGUAGCAUGUAUGCUCAACCAGGUGAACCACCACCCAGGCCCUGAACCUGUAGCAUCUUUUGAAAGGUGCUAGAAAGCAAGAAAGAACUGAAAAAAAAAAAAAAAGUGGCACAAUGGAUAAAGCAUUGGACUCUCAAGCAAUUCAAUACCCGCAGCACAUGUACCAGAGUGAUAUCUGGUUCCUUCUCUCUCUCCUCCUAUCUUUCUCAUUAAUAAAUAAAUAAAAUUUUUUAAAAAGCCAGUUUUGGAAAUAUGUCAAAGGCACAUGGGGCCAACUUAAGGUGUUCUCUAUGUCCAAGUCAACAACAUAUUGAUAGCUCACCUAGAGUGUGGCUGUUUUGCCAGGCUAAUGGUCCAUAUUUAAGCACAGGCCCCAAGGCACUGAAGAAAGUUUUGACGCUGUGACGCCCCACCCCACCCCUUCCUCUUUAUAUUUAUCUGAAAGAAAAGGGGUCAUACAGUGGUGCACCUGCUUAAGUGCACAAAAACAGUGUGCAAGGACCCAGGUUCAAGCCCCUGGUCCCCACCAGGGAGAAAGUUUCAAGAAUGAAGCAGGGCUGUACGUGUCUCUCUGUCUC